rnacentral:rRNA from 1 species
ACAGCAGUAGCCGCGGGAAUACGAAGGGGGCUAGCGUUGUUCGGAAUUACUGGGCGUAAAGCGCACGUAGGCGGAUAUUUAAGUCAGGGGUGAAAUCCCGCAGCUCAACUGCGGAACUGCCUUUGAUACUGGGUAUCUUGAGUAUGGAAGAGGUUAGUGGAAUUGCGAGUGUAGAGGUGAAAUUCGUAGAUAUUCGCAGGAACACCAGUGGCGAAGGCGACUGACUGGACAAGUAUUGACGCUGAGGUGCGAAAGCGUGGGGAGCAAACAGGAUUAGAUACCCGGGUAGUCCCUGUCUCUUAUAC